rnacentral:rRNA from 1 species
GACGAACGCUGGCGGCGUGCUUAACACAUGCAAGUCGAACGGAAAGGCCCUGCUUUUGUGGGGUGCUCGAGUGGCGAACGGGUGAGUAACACGUGAGUAACCUGCCCUUGACUUUGGGAUAACUUCAGGAAACUGGGGCUAAUACCGGAUAGGAGCUCCUGCUGCAUGGUGGGGGUUGGAAAGUUUCGGCGGUUGGGGAUGGACUCGCGGCUUAUCAGCUUGUUGGUGGAGUAGUGGCUUACCAAGGCUUUGACGGGUAGCCGGCCUGGGAGGGUGACCGGCCACAUUGGGACUGAGAUACGGCCCAGACUCCUACGGGAGGCAGCAGUGGGGAAUAUUGCACAAUGGGCGGAAGCCUGAUGCAGCAACGCCGCGUGCGGGAUGACGGCCUUCGGGUUGUAAACCGCUUUCGCCUGUGACGAAGCGUGAGUGACGGUAAUGGGUAAAGAAGCACCGGCUAACUACGUG